AACCAUAGAAACCUGCGGAGUACCUGCGGAAGGAUCAUUACAGAGUUGCAAAACUCCCUAAACCAUUGUGAACGUUACCUAAACCGUUGCUUCGGCGGGCGGCCCGGGUCCUUCCCGGCGCCCCUCGGCCCUCGCGGGCGCCCGCCGGAGGUAAACCAAACUGUUGCAUUGUAUGGCCUCUCUGAGUCUUCUGUACUGAAUAAGUCAAAACUUUCAACAAUGGAUCUCAGAUCGGAAGAG
rnacentral:misc_RNA from 1 species